AGAGUUUGAUCCUGGCUCAGAUUGAACGCUGGCGGCAGGCCUAACACAUGCAAGUCGAGCGGUAGCACAGAGAGCUUGCUCUCGGGUGACGAGCGGCGGACGGGUGAGUAAUGUCUGGGAAACUGCCUGAUGGAGGGGGAUAACUACUGGAAACGGUAGCUAAUACCGCAUAAUGUCGCAAGACCAAAGUGGGGGACCUUCGGGCCUCAUGCCAUCAGAUGUGCCCAGAUGGGAUUAGCUAGUAGGUGGGGUAACGGCUCACCUAGGCGACGAUCCCUAGCUGGUCUGAGAGGAUGACCAGCCACACUGGAACUGAGACACGGUCCAGACUCCUACGGGAGGCAGCAGUGGGGAAUAUUGCACAAUGGGCGCAAGCCUGAUGCAGCCAUGCCGCGUGUGUGAAGAAGGCCUUCGGGUUGUAAAGCACUUUCAGCGGGGAGGAAGGCGAUAAGGUUAAUAACCUUGUCGAUUGACGUUACCCGCAGAAGAAGCACCGGCUAACUCCGUGCCAGCAGCCGCGGUAAUACGGAGGGUGCAAGCGUUAAUCGGAAUUACUGGGCGUAAAGCGCACGCAGGCGGUCUGUCAAGUCGGAUGUGAAAUCCCCGGGCUCAACCUGGGAACUGCAUUCGAAACUGGCAGGCUAGAGUCUUGUAGAGGGGGGUAGAAUUCCAGGUGUAGCGGUGAAAUGCGUAGAGAUCUGGAGGAAUACCGGUGGCGAAGGCGGCCCCCUGGACAAAGACUGACGCUCAGGUGCGAAAGCGUGGGGAGCAAACAGGAUUAGAUACCCUGGUAGUCCACGCCGUAAACGAUGUCGAUUUGGAGGUUGUGCCCUUGAGGCGUGGCUUCCGGAGCUAACGCGUUAAAUCGACCGCCUGGGGAGUACGGCCGCAAGGUUAAAACUCAAAUGAAUUGACGGGGGCCCGCACAAGCGGUGGAGCAUGUGGUUUAAUUCGAUGCAACGCGAAGAACCUUACCUGGUCUUGACAUCCACAGAACUUUCCAGAGAUGGAUUGGUGCCUUCGGGAACUGUGAGACAGGUGCUGCAUGGCUGUCGUCAGCUCGUGUUGUGAAAUGUUGGGUUAAGUCCCGCAACGAGCGCAACCCUUAUCCUUUGUUGCCAGCGGUUAGGCCGGGAACUCAAAGGAGACUGCCAGUGAUAAACUGGAGGAAGGUGGGGAUGACGUCAAGUCAUCAUGGCCCUUACGACCAGGGCUACACACGUGCUACAAUGGCAUAUACAAAGAGAAGCGACCUCGCGAGAGCAAGCGGACCUCAUAAAGUAUGUCGUAGUCCGGAUUGGAGUCUGCAACUCGACUCCAUGAAGUCGGAAUCGCUAGUAAUCGUAGAUCAGAAUGCUACGGUGAAUACGUUCCCGGGCCUUGUACACACCGCCCGUCACACCAUGGGAGUGGGUUGCAAAAGAAGUAGGUAGCUUAACCUUCGGGAGGGCGCUUACCACUUUGUGAUUCAUGACUGGGGUGAAGUCGUAACAAGGUAACC
rnacentral:rRNA from 1 species